rnacentral:rRNA from 1 species
CGCGUGCUAUACAUGCAAGUCGGACGCACAGCGAAAGGUGCUUGCACCUUUCAAGUGAGUGGCGAACGGGUGAGUAACACGUGGAUAACCUACCUCAAGGUUGGGGAUAACAUUUGGAAACAGAUGCUAAUACCGAAUAAAACUUCGUAUCGCAUGAUACAAGGUUAAAAGGCGCUACGGCGUCACCUAGAGAUGGAUCCGCGGUGCAUUAGUUAGUUGGUGGGGUAAAGGCCUACCAAGACAAUGAUGCAUAGCCGAGUUGAGAGACUGAUCGGCCACAUUGGGACUGAGACACGGCCCAAACUCCUACGGGAGGCUGCAGUAGGGAAUCUUCCACAAUGGGCGAAAGCCUGAUGGAGCAACGCCGCGUGUGUGAUGAAGGCUUUCGGGUCGUAAAGCACUGUUGUAUGGGAAGAACAGCUAGAGUAGGGAAUGACUUUAGUUUGACGGUACCAUACCAGAAAGGGACGGCUAAAUACGUGCCAGCAGCCGCGGUAAUACGUAUGUCCCGAGCGUUAUCCGGAUUUAUUGGGCGUAAAGCGAGCGCAGACGGUUGAUUAAGUCUGAUGUGAAAGCCCGGAGCUCAACUCCGGAAAGGCAUUGGAAACUGGUCAACUUGAGUGCAGUAGAGGUAAGUGGAACUCCAUGUGUAGCGGUGGAAUGCGUAGAUAUAUGGAAGAACACCAGCGGCGAA